rnacentral:rRNA from 1 species
ACGGUAAUCAACCAGAAAGUCACGGCUAACUACGUGCCAGCAGCCGCGGUAAUACGUAGGUGGCAAGCGUUGUCCGGAUUUAUUGGGCGUAAAGCGAGCGCAGGCGGAAGAAUAAGUCUGAUGUGAAAGCCCUCGGCUUAACCGAGGAACUGCAUCGGAAACUGUUUUUCUUGAGUGCAGAAGAGGAGAGUGGAACUCCAUGUGUAGCGGUGGAAUGCGUAGAUAUAUGGAAGAACACCAGUGGCGAAGGCGACUCUCUGGUCUGCAACUGACGCUGAGGCUCGAAAGCAUGGGUAGCGAACAGGAUUAGAUACCCUGGUAGUCCAUGCCGUAAACGAUGAGUGCUAAGUGUUGGGAGGUUUCCGCCUCUCAGUGCUGCAGCUAACGCAUUAAGCACUCCGCCUGGGGAGUACGACCGCAAGGUUGAAACUCAAAGGAAUUGACGGGGGCCCGCACAAGCGGUGGAGCAUGUGGUUUAAUUCGAAGCAACGCGAAGAACCUUACCAGGUCUUGACAUCUAGUGCCAUCCUAAGAGAUUAGGAGUUCCCUUCGGGGACGCUAAGACAGGUGGUGCAUGGCUGUCGUCAGCUCGUGUCGUGAGAUGUUGGGUUAAGUCCCGCAACGAGCGCAACCCUUGUUAUUAGUUGCCAGCAUUAAGUUGGGCACUCUAAUGAGACUGCCGGUGACAAACCGGAGGAAGGUGGGGAUGACGUCAAGUCAUCAUGCCCCUUAUGACCUGGGCUACACACGUGCUACAAUGGACAGUACAACGAGAAGCGAGCCUGCGAAGGCAAGCGAAUCUCUGAAAGCUGUUCUCAGUUCGGACUGCAGUCUGCAACUCGACUGCACGAAGCUGGAAUCGCUAGUAAUCGCGGAUCAGAACGCCGCGGUGAAUACGUUCCCGGGCCUUGUACACACCGCCCGUCACACCAUGGAAGUCUGCAAUGCCCAAAGCCGGUGGCC